rnacentral:lncRNA from 1 species
GAAAUAAUUUAGUAAAAAUACGAUGUUGGAGCAUCCAAUACUUUUUGCAAUUAGAUAUGAAAACAAAGAAAUUGAUGGGUUGCAUCGAACUAAAUAUUGAUAUUUGUGCAAUUAGAUGUAGAAAACAAAGAAAUAUACCUAAAUUUAGAGUUCUGGAACAUAAAGAUGUUAGAGAAUAACAACGCAGCGGAAACAAUAGUAAAGAGAAAAUCGAAAGAAAAUAAUCACACAAGAAACAAAAUUUACGUGGUUCACUCCACGGUCGGCGGUUGAUCAGUUCACUAUCUUGUGGAAAUUUCGUACAUCUUACGAUUGUUAGAUCCUCUCCAUAUAUAAAUAUAAGAAACCCGAAUUCAACCUGGAAGUACAAAACUACUUUGGGAGUUUGGAUAAGUAGAUCUUCAAAAUGAGGAUAUAGGAAAUGGAAUACCACACAUGAAGAAAUCUCUACCUUCUCUAUUAAACCUACUCAGCAAAAUCAUUAUAUCAUCCCAAUUCCAUCAGUCUUCUCGGUGGAUCCACUGAGUGACGACGCUGAUCUGUUUGCUUAUGCAUGGAACAUAUAAGGAUGACUACCUCACCUUGUCCUUUGCUAAAAUUGGUCUUCUAGUAUAGCUAUCUGAAGUAGGAAAAAAAUUGUUAUAAUUAAUAAGGCUUAAUUUAAAUACAUAUCAAUCUUUUUAAAUUUCUUUGUCAGUCAGUGUCUUUCGAAAGCAACUUUCGAAAGCUACAUUGGACCAUCCAGAGUAAGAAAAUAUAUACAUAUGUAUGCCUUAGUACUGUUUCUAAAAUCCUUUGACUUUUCUUUUCUUUUUCUUUUUGUUAAACAUCAAGAGAAUAUGAAUAUGCCCCAGUAUUACUAAAAUAAGAUGGAGUACUCAAUUCAUUAAAUUGUCAUAGUAUUUAUUUUACUGAUUAAUUAAUUUACUCUUUGAUUUCUUUGUAACAACUCUAGUUGUUUUAUUUGUACUUCAGUUUGCUGUGUUCUUUGCCACGAAUAACUUCCUUUUCACCAAGUUCAACUUUUUAUUUCUUAUACUAUUCCUGUCGAUACUUGUGUAUAAUUAGAAAAUUCUAUAAUCCAUCAUUCAGAAAGCACUAGGAUGUAGCUCUUUGACAACCGAGUUAUCCUGAUCGAUUGUAGGCCUAGUCGGAAAGGAAAAACUAUGGCACUAUAGCUACACUCUUCUCGUAUACUUUCAAGUUUUACACAUUAGAUAUCCUUUUUUAAUUCAUACUAAUCAAAUAAAUAAAAAAAGAAAAUAAAAGAUGUUUGCUUGAUUCAUUCUAGUAGAAUAACAAAUCUUCAAAAAUUGUAGAAGUUAUCAAUAUUUCACUUGUGUGUAAUAUAUAUCUCUGGGAGCAAAUUAAACAAAUACAUGGAAAGAACAUUAAUAUCACACAUUCACACCUUUAAACUGCAAAAUUUUGUAUAUUUGAAGACAUAUCAUAUUUUUGAAGAAGCUAAUCAAUUGUGAAGUGGGUCUGGUCCACCUGGAACAGUCCGGUCUGACAUACCAUAAAUUGGUUCGACGCCAUCAUUUUUGGCUUCAAUGGGAACUGCUGCAGGAAAAUGCAUUGAGAACGGGGAACGGAAUUCUGGUUCUGGUUUAAAUUCCAUCUCUGUUCCUUCAAUUGUAACUCUCUUCAUAUCGCGGCAAUUUGAGAGCUGAGUGAAGGUGAGCAUGACCAUGAUGAACAGAAAUGGGACCCCGGGAUUUUGAGUACCCAUGAUUCUUAUGAUGAGAAAUAGCUGAAGAACUAGUGCCCAAUAGAUGAAGCAGGUAAAAUGGAGCUUGUUCUCUAAUGCAGGCUGUGAAGUCUUUUAUAUGCCUUUGGGUAACCUGUGGACUAUAUAAAAGCCA